UACGUAGGGUGCAAGCGUUGUCCGGAAUUAUUGGGCGUAAAGAGCUCGUAGGCGGCUUGUCACGUCGACUGUGAAAACCCGGGGCUCAACCCCGGGCCUGCAUUCGAUACGGGCAGACUAGAGUUCGGUAGGGGAGUCUGGAAUUCCUGGUGUAGCGGUGAAAUGCGCAGAUAUCAGGAGGAACACCGGUGGCGAAGGCGGGACUCUGGGCCGAUACUGACGCUGAGGAGCGAAAGCGUGGGGAGCAAACAGG
rnacentral:rRNA from 1 species